AAAGUAGAUACUGCGACAGUAGUCGAAGUUAGUACGAGAAGGAACACUUCGUCCAGAUACUUGGUUAAUGCCGUUGUCUGAAAAGACAGUACGGCGAAGCUACCAUCUGCUGGAUUACGGCUGAACGCCUCUAAGCCGGAAUCCAUGCUGGAUAAGCAGUGUUGUACACCGUGCUCAAUGCUACAAGAAAAAGGCUAGGUCAGGCUUCGGCCUGACCAAAAUUCAAGCUGCUAUACCUCUGGCUGCAUUGACUUGUGGUCAGAGUGUAUGGUGAUCAUAGCAAUUGCAAGUAUUGGGCUCGAUAAAUCCUUUGAAGACGACUUAAUUGCAUCCGGGUAUUGUAAGUGUUGAGAGUAGGCUUAGUCUUACGAUCCACUGAGAUUCAUCCCGUGUUGCGCCGAUUUGU
rnacentral:ncRNA from 1 species